UACGUAGGCAGCAAGCGUUGUUCGGAAUUACUGGGCGUAAAGAGUGUGUAGGCGGUGCUCCAAGUCUGGUGUGAAAUCUCCCGGCUCAACUGGGAGGGUGCGCUAGAAACUGGAAUGCUAGAGGAUGGGAGAGGUAAGCGGAAUUCCUGGUGUAGCGGUGAAAUGCGUAGAUAUCUGGAGGAACACCGGUGGCGAAGGCGGCAUCCUGGACCAAUUACUGACGCUGAGUGAGCGAAAGCCAGGGGAGCAAACGGG
rnacentral:rRNA from 1 species